AUUGAACGCUGGCGGCAUGCCUUACACAUGCAAGUCGAACGGCAGCACGGGUGCUUGCACCUGGUGGCGAGUGGCGAACGGGUGAGUAAUACAUCGGAACAUGUCCUGUAGUGGGGGAUAGCCCGGCGAAAGCCGGAUUAAUACCGCAUACGAUCUACGGAUGAAAGCGGGGGACCUUCGGGCCUCGCGCUAUAGGGUUGGCCGAUGGCUGAUUAGCUAGUUGGUGGGGUAAAGGCCUACCAAGGCGACGAUCAGUAGCUGGUCUGAGAGGACGACCAGCCACACUGGGACUGAGACACGGCCCAGACUCCUACGGGAGGCAGCAGUGGGGAAUUUUGGACAAUGGGCGAAAGCCUGAUCCAGCAAUGCCGCGUGUGUGAAGAAGGCCUUCGGGUUGUAAAGCACUUUUGUCCGGAAAGAAAUCCUUGGCCCUAACACGGUCGGGGGAUGACGGUACCGGAAGAAUAAGCACCGGCUAACUACGUG
rnacentral:rRNA from 1 species